CCACUUUAGCAGCACAUAUACUAAAACUGGAACAAUACAGAGAAGAUCAGCAUGGUCCCUGCAUAAGGAUGACAUGCAAAUGUUUGACGUGUUCCAUAUUUUU